CUACGGAGGGGGCUAGCGUUGUUCGGAAUUACUGGGCGUAAAGCGCGCGUAGGCGGAUUGAUCAGUCAGGGGUGAAAUCCCGAGGCUUAACCUCGGAACUGCCUCUGAUACUGUCAAUCUUGAGUUCGAGAGAGGUGAGUGGAAUUCCUAGUGUAGAGGUGAAAUUCGUAGAUAUUAGGAAGAACACCAGUGGCGAAGGCGGCUCACUGGCUCGAUACUGACGCUGAGGUGCGAAAGCGUGGGGAGCAAACAGGAUUAGAAACCCUAGUAGUCC
rnacentral:rRNA from 1 species